AAUCAACGCUGGCGGCGUGCCUCAGACAUGCAAGUCGAACGCGAAAGUCCCCUUCGGGGGAUGAUUAGAGUGGCGCACGGGUGAGUAACACGUAGGUAAUCUACCUUCGAGUGGGGAAUAACUCAGGGAAACUUGAGCUAAUACCGCAUAAUGCAGCGGCACCACAUGGUGACAGUUGUUAAAGCAUUUAUGCGCUUGAAGAGGAGCCUGCGGCGGAUAGCUAGUUGGUAAGGUAAUGGCUUACCAAGGCUACGAUCUGUAACCGGCCUGAGAGGGCGGACGGUCACACUGACACUGAA
rnacentral:rRNA from 1 species